UAUAGCUCGUAUCUAGUCUUCACAUUUUCGACUUGCUCUGCCACACAGACUGCCAUUGCCAAUGUGUGAGUUAUCAACUUUCAGCUACUUCAGAUUUUUACUGUUUCUAUAGUUUCAUUUUUGCUAGUUUUACUAGAGAUAUUAAUGUUGAUCUUGAAGCGUAUUUUCGACUUCCCCAGCUACGAAUGCCAACCACCUGUGAGUUAUCUACUCUUGUCAACUUUCACCUACUUCGAAUUUUGUAUAGUUUCUUAUAUUGUUACUUUUAAUUUUAAUGAAUCUAUGUUUAGUUUUAAUGAAUCUAUGUUUGGUUUCAACUUUCGGGCCUUCGCUGAAGGUUACACUAUGUAAAUCUUAGUCACUGCGAUACAUGGAUUAUGAGUUAAAGGUGGCUGUAAGUCCUUAACAAUAAUGCACUAUCAUUAGCUUUUUUGACCAUUGCAGAUCAUUUCAGAUUGACAUAUACAAUUUGCAAAUCUAUUACUCAACUUAAGUGAAGUUGGGUUAAUGUUAAUCGAGAAUUUUAUCUCAGUUUUUAAACUUUAUCUGCUGAGUAUUAUGCAUGAAUGAUGACAGAAGUAUAUCUCAAUGUUGAUUUCCAGCUAGUUCAUUUACACCCUUAUUUCACAUAGCUAAUCAUGUCUUUGAAUAGCAUUAUGGUCUCGAAACAAUUGAGAAAGUGUCAACAAAACCCAAUCCUGCCACAAACUAUAAUGACCCGAUUUUGGUUUAUUUUACAUAUGGUGAAACAUUUAUGGCUUCUGACAGGACGAUGCAGCCAAAAAAGGUUUGCAUACCAUUGUUUUAAUUAAUUACUUGAUUAGCGUAUGUUCGUUAAAAGAUGAUGCACUGAGUCUGAUGCACUUGACUUGACUCUUAGAUGCACAUGAUGUACUUACUCUGGAUGCAUCAAAUCGUAAAUAUGUGGGUUAUACUAUGGAAAAAUAGGUCCAUUGAGUACAUUAGGGAGCUUCACCGACCUAGUGCAGACAGAACCCUAAUGUGAGUGUUGGGAUUUGGAUGUCCAUUGCUACUAUGGCUCAGGAUUACUUCUCCUUGGUUAGCUAUACACAAGAUGUUCUGUUUAGUGUAAUAAAAACAGUCCCACUCAAAACAGGUACGUUACUGCAGAAAUCCGCCAUCACUUUUAUGAAUAAUCUAGUAAUCAUUGUGUUUUACAGAUGAAUUGGUAUUUUACUACAUAAAAAAUGUCAAGUUGAAACGUGAUAUUUUUACCCUUUUCACAGCAAAAAAAAAAUGAAAAUAAAAAUAAAAAAUUGAAACGUGGACCUUAGAAUUCAAAUACAACAGAAUCAUAUACCGAUACAUCAUACGGUACAUAAUAUACUUGUACAAUAUAUUCUACAGACCCGUGUACAUUUAUAACGUACAGACAAGUGUACACUUACAAUGGUGUAUAUACUGAUUAAAAACGGCAGUAUUUGGAAUUUUGCAAUUACAAAAUAUACACUACUGUGUAACCAUCUCCUAUGUUGCCUAGUGGUAAGGCGUCUUGAAAGUCUUAGAAGAGACGUGAAUUCGAACCUUACUGGGUAAACAUCUACGAUGACCUAGGAAAAAGUCUAGGAAACGACUAUGUGAAUACUGGUUAAGCCUUGUACAUCAGAUUCAAGUCUCGACUUUAGCACCAUAGCGUGAACAGAGAUGCCUCUCUAUUUAUCUGUUUACCUUAAAUAACACUUAUGUCUAUGAAACAUUGAACCUGGCUCUAGCAUGGCCUCGUGAUACCUGGAAGUGCUCGGUGAGGCCUAAAUGGGCCAUCAGAAGCCAAACAUGAGUCAGGAGCUGCCCCCCUCCGCCAAGCUGCUGUGAAUGGUGAAACCCUCCGCACUGGGCAGCACAAUAACCUAGGAUCUCAAUCCAUACUUGACUGAUGACUUUCCACAUUCGUUCACGUUCCAUCUCUUUCAGACCUAAUGCAAGUCUGACACCAUCAAACAGUAUGGAUUUGGAUCGAUCUCCCUUCACUAUACUAGGCAACAGUUCAUUACAGUUAACUUCCAGCAACUUUCUGCAGGCAUGAGCUUUAUCAGCAAUAGGACCUUUUGUUUUGAAGAAACGUUCGGCUUCAGCGCACGUGUCUCGAUACCUGAUCAUUCCAAUACCUCUGGGCAGCAUUUCUGGAUUUGAAACGAGAAGAUUUGCCAGGUAUUUAGAUAUGUGAUUACUUUCAAUUCUGUUGACUUCAAGCAGAUCACCAACCUCCGAGUUAAAGCAGAGACUAGUAGCUAUAUGCCAGAUAAGAAUGCUCUGAUCGGAUUCGACAUCAGUGAUGCUCCACAUCAGAGUGUCGCACGCAUUCUCAUGCAGAGAAUCACUACCUCUUUGGAAGCAUAACGGUUCAGGAUUAGGACCCAUGAGCUUACUAAACUGGCUGUAAAUCAUAUCUUUCAGGCUUCUCCUCGAAGGCUUCACUUAGUAGCUCUGACUGUGAAAUGGAAAUCGACCACCUUUGUUUACUUGGUUGCUUCAGGAAAGGGAAUAUGAGGUUGUUACGCGUCCAGUUGUGUUGGUUCAGCCAGAUAUCAGUCCAAUCUGACUGCAUCAUGAGAAUAACUAUCACUGAGAAGACGAAAGCCCACAAGUACCAGAACAAUGAGAAAAACACUAGUGGCACGAAGUACAAGUCCCUUAUCUGUAUAGACUACCGCUGCCUUCGUGUAAAGCUUGUCAUACGCAAAUCCAAGUUCAAUCUCAACAGCAUGGAAAGCUUCAUCGGCAGAAUCAAGAUGUUGAAAGUAGGAUGUGCUAUUAUCUCUAUCUUCAUAUGUGAGUAUGAGAUCGACAAAAAGACGCUUAAAUAACUGAAAUAGGUCAUAUGCUUCAAGUAUUGCCUUGCAUCGAUUUUCAGGAUAUGAAUGAACAAGUGGAAGAGGCGACUCUGCAACCUGCUCAACCGUCACAAUAUGACCUUGUGACCUUUUCAAGCGUAACUCCUCCAAGAAUUUGACAUAAUCCGGACCUGGGUCCGCAGGACCAAGCAUUGACUCUCGGAGAUGUUCAGUGCUCGCUAACCUUAGAGCCUGAACACGUUCAAAACACUUGAUGAAACCGGAUGCAUAAAUGCAUAUACUUAAUAGCGGAAGAUGAGAACAGCCGGGCCAGGAUAACAAGAAGAUAUAGAAAGCUACUCCUGAUUGAACCACAAGGAGAACCAACUGUCUCAACCAAAGCUCAUUGUCCUCUAAGGAGUAAGCAGUAAUGGAGUCUGGACCACCAAGGUGAAGAAAAAGAAAUGGGGCCCAAAACGACAUGAGCUCCAUUGUGUUAGACUUUUGAGAAUUUGAGGUGCAAUGAUUUGUGUUGCUAAAUUCUAUAGAAUGUUGGACGGUAAAACUUAAGGCUACCGGAACAACUGCGUACGCCAAAAAGUACACACACCAAAGAAUAGUUCUUACUAGCGUUCUUGGAUUGUAUUUCCGAAUGUGUCCAAGCAGAGAUAAGAUGAUCUGCAAAGCAAGACUGAGAAGAAUCAAUCCUCGUAAUGCGUCCUCAUUCCACAUCUUCUUCACAUCAUCUGGUAUCACCUGAAGUGACAUUCUUGGUAUCACCUGAAGUGACAUUCUCGGAUCUCCAAACAUGUUUGAAUCUUCAAACAAAAAACAGAUCACAUAAUUAGAUGGCCAGCUAGCUGCAAAGUCUAUAUUGAUAAAGAACUCUAGUACUAUGCUAUUUCUACUAGAAAUUGAAGUCUCCAACUUAACAUACAAUUUAUAAGCAUACGACUUUGUAAGACUUGGUAGGAAUAAAAACUAUAAACCAGAAAUUAAAAUCAAAUGUUAAACUUAUGAACAAUAAACAAAACGUACCAAUGGAAGUCAUUCAGCCGGAUCUUCACACUUUAA